rnacentral:rRNA from 1 species
UAAAAUGAAUUGACGGGGGCCCGCACAAGCGGUGGAGCAUGUGGUUUAAUUAGAAGCAACGCGAAGAACCUUACCAGGUCUUGACAUCCUCUGACAACUAUAGAGAUAGAGCGUUCCCCUUCGGGGGACAGAGUGACAGGUGGUGCAUGGUUGUCGUCAGCUCGUGUCGUGAGAUGUUGGGUUAAGUCCCGCAACGAGCGCAACCCUUGAUCUUAGUUGCCAGCAUUCAGUUGGGCACUCUAAGGUGACUGCCGGUGACAAACCGGAGGAAGGUGGGGAUGACGUCAAAUCAUCAUGCCCCUUAUGACCUGGGCUACACACGUGCUACAAUGGAUGGUACAAAGGGCUGCAAGACCGCGAGGUCAAGCCAAUCCCAUAAAACCAUUCUCAGUUCGGAUUGUAGGCUGCAACUCGCCUACAUGAAGCUGGAAUCGCUAGUAAUCGCGGAUCAGCAUGCCGCGGUGAAUACGUUCCCGGGCCUUGUACACACCGCCCGUCACACCACGAGAGUUUGUAACACCCGAAGUCGGUGGAGUAACCGUAAGGAGCUAGCCGCCUAAGGUGGGACAGAUGAUGGGGGUGAAGUCGUAACAAGGUAAG